GAUGAACGCUGGCGGCGUGCCUAAUACAUGCAAGUCGAGCGAACAGACGAGGAGCUUGCUCCUCUGACGUUAGCGGCGGACGGGUGAGUAACACGUGGAUAGCCUACCUAUUAGACUUGGAUAACUUCGGGAAACCGGAUCUAAUACCGGAUAAUAUGUUGUAUGGCAGGGUUCAACAGUGCAUGACGGUCUUGCUGACACUUAUAGAUGGUUCCGGGCCGCAUUAGCUAGUUGGUAAGGUAACGGCUUACCAAGGCAACGAUGCGUAGCCGACCUGAGAGGGUGAUCGGCCACACUGGAACUGAGACACGGUCCAGACUCCUACGGGAGGCAGCAGUAGGGAAUCUUCGGCAAUGGGCGAAAGCCUGACGGAGCAAUGCCGCGUGAGUGAAGAAGGUCUUCGGAUCGUAAAGCUCUGUUAUUAGGGAAGAACAAAUGUGUAAGUAACUAUGCCCGUCUUGACGGUACCUAAUCAGAAAGCAACGGCUAACUACGUG
rnacentral:rRNA from 1 species